GCUCAUUGGAGUAUAGAUGUAAGAAUAAAGCAUGCAGACUGAAAUUUAUCAUAGUGAUUAUCUGUGUAAGAUAAUUGCUAGCAGAUUAUAGCCUUUGUUGUUUCAAGUUGCUGGCCAGAAUCGAACCUUAAGCCUAGGAUUAAGUUGUUAAUCUGAAUUUAGAAUAACCCUCUUGCUAAUUGAACUUCAUAGACGGGCAGAUCAGAGCAGCAGCUAUAUACAGAGGGGAGGGGAUCUUGGCUCUGAUAAGAGGAACAUGAUUGCCAUGAUUUGAGAGCAUCCAAAAAAUCAUAGCUCACAGUAUGCUUAGAGAAGUUAAUCCACGAUUCAUCAAUUAAGAAAAAAUCAAAAUUAUUUCAGGAAAUUGAGAUAAGAUCAUCAAGAAGAACAAAGAGUAUAUUAGUGUCAUGAAAAAAUAGACUGGGAAUAGAUUUUCUCAUUACUAUCACAGCCUCAGAUAGAUCAAUCAAAGAAUAAUUCCUAUCCUUUUCUUCUCUGUAAAUUUCCUACAAAUGAUCUCAAUAGUUAACAAUGGUCUCAAAACAGUUGAGCCCAUCGAGCUCUAGCGCGAACCUUGUCAUCUUCUUCUCUUGUUUCCUAGUUAAUGAUCUCGAGGAGCUUCCUUGUUGAUUCUUGAUCAGCUUAUCUUCAGCCACCUUCCUACUCAAAACCCUCUUGGUAUUGCCAUCCAUGGUUGUAAAAGCAAAAGAAGACUUCACUUUUUGGCUCAAGAAUUCAUUACACAAAGCAUCAAAAGAACUGAACAUAGAAUUCAUAUCUCUUCAACAAAAUCUUGAUCACCCCAAAUUAAUCUCAAGAAGUAGUAGAGGAUCUUUUGAUAGCUAGAGAGCAAGAUUUUGUUGGGCAAUUUGAGGAGGAGCAAUGUCAAGAAAAGCUUAUAUAUAGUGGUAAAGAAAGGAAGGAAUCUUGAUUGCCGUCAAAAACAAGGAAGGCUGUGCGAUUCCUUUUAUCUUCCAAGAUGGUUGUUGUUCCUUGUAGGCUUCAAAGGCGUGGAAUAGUUAAUGGCGGCUUCUUUUGGAGCCUACUGGAGAUGACCAUGAGAUGAGACCAUGUUCAACGAUCAAAAGCCAGCCGCCUGCAUGCGUCUUGUCAAACCAUGUUUACUUGCUUGGGAAUUGGAGAUUGCUUAGCUAGCUAGUGCUUGGUCUCAAUUCACAAAUUUUCUUCUGACCUUACUUGAAAAAUAUCUCAACAUGCCUUGCCACUUUUAACGGUCG
rnacentral:lncRNA from 1 species